rnacentral:rRNA from 1 species
CCCUUAGAGUUUGAUCCUGGCUCAGAUUGAACGCUGGCGGCGUGCCUAACACAUGCAAGUCGAGCGGUAACAGGUGUAGCAAUACAUGCUGACGAGCGGCGGACGGGUGAGUAACGCUUGGGAAUCUGCCUGAUAGUGGGGGACAACCCGGGGAAACUCGGGCUAAUACCGCAUACGCACUACGGUGGAAAGCCGGGGUCCGCAAGGCCUGGCGCUAACAGAUGAGCCCAAGUCGGAUUAGCUAGUUGGUAGGGUAACGGCCUACCAAGGCGACGAUCCGUAACUGGUCUGAGAGGACGACCAGUCACACCGGAACUGAGACACGGUCCGGACUCCUACGGGAGGCAGCAGUGGGGAAUAUUGGACAAUGGGCGAAAGCCUGAUCCAGCGACGCCGCGUGGGUGAAGAAGGCCUGCGGGUUGUAAAGCCCUUUCGGUGGGGAAGAAAAGCCUCGAGUUAAUACCUCGGGGUCUUGACGUAACCCAUAGAAGAAGCACCGGCUAACUCUGUGCCAGCAGCCGCGGUAAUACAGAGGGUGCGAGCGUUAAUCGGAAUUACUGGGCGUAAAGCGCGCGUAGGCGGCUUUGCAAGUCGGGUGUGAAAUCCCCAGGCUUAACCUGGGAACUGCAUUCGAGACUGCAUUGCUAGAGUAUGGGAAGAGGGAAGUGGAAUUUCCGGUGUAGCGGUGAAAUGCGUAGAUAUCGGAAGGAACAUCAGUGGCGAAAGCGACUUCCUGGACAAUACUGACGCUCAUGUGCGAAAGCGUGGGGAGCAAACAGAUAGAUACCCUGGUAGUCCACGCCAUAACGA